GUCUUAGACUCAAAUGGCCGAAGGGAUAAGGUUCCCUAUCGUCAUCCACUCAUCCUCGAUGCAUCACAAAUCCAUCGAUUUGUUUAGUUCUGCAGAGAGGCACCGAUGUUGCGGUUCAUGGCGUCGCCAGCCAUAGCCGGGGGGCUUGCUCGUACAACGCCACGCGCCAGAGAGCGUUGCCGGCCGUCGGUUUCCCCAUCGUGCCGGAGGACGUCGCCUCCACUGCUGCUCAUGGUCCGCGCACGCCGAAGGGCUGCAUGGCCGCGUCGUGGUUGGUUGCUCCGUGGGAGCCGCCUUGAGGCCGAGGGCCUCAGAUGAUGUCCGUGUGACGCGCGUGUCGCUCUUCGCGGAGGAUUCAGGCCGAAGGAGGGCACCGCCGCACCACCGGGGUGCGUCGGGCGUAGUGGGUGUGCCUCCACCGACAGCGUUCAUAUUUGUUUUCUUCUGUUCUUGGUAAGGUUGCUUGUGUUUGAUCGCCUCAUAGAAGAAGUAGUACAGGUCGUGGACUUGAUUCUAUCCUGUGCUUCACUCCUUUUCUUCUCGGUUCUUGGUGUUCCUAGUAAAGCAAUUGUUUUGUGCAAGAAUAAAAUCAAACUGAAUCACCUUGUUUGACACCGAUUUCUCUUUCUCGAGGCCAGCGAUGUGUAUGGCGUCCCUUAUUGAAGGUCCCCGGAGUUGCUUGGUGCCGUUCGUCGCUUGAUGCCGAUGGGUAGUGCAGAAGCGAGCGCGGCGCGUGAGGGUGGCCUCGCCGGGCGCAAGAAUGGCGCUGAGGGCCGUCGGGCGCUCCGUGGUGUGCCACGGAUGCAAUAUGAGAACUCCGUCGCCGGACGAGCGUCGCGCGUCGGCCGUUUUGCCUCCAGAUGCGGGAGAAGAUCCCUUGGCGCCUCGCCGCUGUUACGCCGCCUCCCUAUCACUUUCUUCUCGCUUUCUAUGGCCAAAUCGCUCUCGGUUACGAGCGUGCUAAUAACGUGUUGAAUGUAAAAGUGAUUGAAUUAAGGAAAGGCUCCUGAUUUCAUUGAAUCUCAAGAUAUAUAUACACUCCGAAGAGGCGCCUUGUAGAGGCGGUAGUUACAAUAGAUAUGGGAAGGAAAAGAACGCCUUGUAGAGGCGGUAGUUACAAUAGAUAUGGGAAGGAAAAGAACGCGUCCGUACGGACACAUGCGUCCGUACGAGGCGUCUGUUCGGUGUUGGACACACCUAUUCAACUAAUGACGGUUUGUUAAUUAACCUGUGUUAAUUAACUAACAUGUAAAAUCUAUUCCUAACAAGUUUUCUAUUUUUAUUGCUCUGUUUUGAAUUAGUAAAAAUGCUAAUUCAUUUUUAAAACUCC
rnacentral:rRNA from 1 species